rnacentral:hammerhead_ribozyme from 1 species
UUACUUGUGAAGAGUCCCAGACUAGGACGAAAUAGCUGUCCAGUAG